AUGCGACAGUUCGUCAGAUCUUCCUUUGAAGUGGAUCGGAGAAAGCGAAAGGCUAGUGCAAACAUGUUUGAAAUGACUUGUGAAAAUGCGCCCUUCUUCAUCUCCAUCGAUGAAAUUGAUUUUUUGUGUUGCCAAUAUGGAGAAGCCAAUGAAAGUGAGUUGGUCAAGAUUCAAGAGUCAAGACGGAGCUGCUCGUCCAGAACUCCAGAUGCACGUGACAUCUUCAGACAUUGUAGAGCACCUUCCAGUGUCUUCUUUUAUCGACAAAUUGGCCAGAGAUUUGUCCUUCAUUUAAGCAGAAUAUAG
rnacentral:rRNA from 1 species